CUGCGAGUGAAGCGGGAAAAGCUCAAAUUUAAAAUCUGGCAGUCUUUGAUUGUCCGAGUUGUAUUCUAGAGAAGUGUUUUCCGCGUUGGACCGUGUACAAGUCUCUUGGAACAGAGCGUCAUAGAGGGUGAGAAUCCCGUCUUUGACACGGACUACCAAUGCUUUGUGAUGCGCUCUCAAAGAGUCGAGUUGUUUGGGAAUGCAGCUCAAAAUGGGUGGUAAAUUCCAUCUAAAGCUAAAUAUUGGCGAGAGACCGAUAGCGAACAAGUACCGUGAGGGAAAGAUGAAAAGCACUUUGGAAAGAGAGUUAAACAGUACGUGAAAUUGUUGAAAGGGAAACGCUUGAAGUCAGUCGCGUUAGUCAGAACUCAGCCUUGCUUUUGCUUGGUGCACUUUCUGAUUGACGGGCCAGCAUCAGUUUUGACUGCAGGAGAAAGGUCAGAGGAAUGUGGCAUCUUCGGAUGUGUUAUAGCCUCUGAUUGUAUACUGUGAUUGGGACUGAGGAACUCAGCACGCGCAAGCUGUGCUUAGGAUGCUGGCGUAAUGGCUUUAAACGAC
rnacentral:rRNA from 1 species